rnacentral:rRNA from 1 species
UACGUAGGGGGCAAGCGUUGUCCGGAUUUAUUGGGCGUAAAGAGCGUGUAGGCGGUUCGGUAGGUCCGUUGUGAAAACUCGAGGCUCAACCUCGAGACGCCGAUGGAAACCAUCGAACUAGAGUCCGGAAGAGGAGAGUGGAAUUCCUGGUGUAGCGGUGAAAUCCGCAGAUAUCAGGAAGAACACCCGUGGCUAAGGCGGCUCUCUAGUACGGUACUGACGCUGAGACGCGAAAGCGUGGGGAGCGAACAGG